rnacentral:rRNA from 1 species
UGGCCGUAAACGAUGUGGACUUGGUGUUGGAAUGGCUCCGAGCUGCUCCAGUGCCGAAGGGAAGCUGUUAAGUCCACCGCCUGGGAAGUACGGUCGCAAGACUGAAACUUAAAGGAAUUGGCGGGGGAGGCACCACAACGCGUGGAGCCUCGCGGGUUUAAUUUGGAUUCUAACGCCGGACAUCUCACCAGGGGCGGACAGCAGAAUGAUGGCCAGGUUGAUGACCUUGCUUGACAAGCUGAGAGGAGGUGCAUGGCGUGUGACUGU